CAGUCGAGCGAUGAAAUUUUGACAGAUCCCUUCGGGGUGAAGAUAAAAUGGAUCUAUGGCGGACGGGUGAGUAACACGUGAGUAACCUGCCUUAGACAUUGGGAUAGCCUCGGGAAACCGGGAUUAAUACCGAAUAAAAUCAUAGGUGCACAUGCACUAAUGAUCAAAACUCCGGUGGUCUAAGAUGGACUCGCGUCCCAUUAGCUAGUUGGUAGGGUAACGGCCUACCAAGGCGGCGAUGGGUAGCCGGCCUGAGAGGGUGAACGGCCACAUUGGAACUGAGAAACGGUCCAAACUCCUACGGGAGGCAGCAGUGGGGAAUAUUGCACAAUGGAGGGAACUCUGAUGCAGCGACGCCGCGUGAACGAAGAAGGCUUUCGAGUCGUAAAGUUCUUUUAUAUGGGAAGAUAAUGACGGUACCAUAAGAAAAAGCCCCGGCUAACUACGUGCCAGCAGCCGCGGUAAUACGUAGGGGGCUAGCGUUGUCCGGAAUCACUGGGCGUAAAGGGUUCGCAGGCGGAAAUGCAAGUCAGGUGUAAAAGGCAGUAGCUUAACUACUGUAAGCAUUUGAAACUGCAUAUCUUGAGAAGAGUAGAGGUAAGUGGAAUUUUUAGUGUAGCGGUGAAAUGCGUAGAUAUUAAAAAGAAUACCGGUGGCGAAGGCGACUUACUGGGCUCAUUCUGACGCUGAGGAACGAAAGCGUGGGUAGCAAACAGGAUUAGAUACCCUGGUAGUCCACGCUGUAAACGAUGAGUGCUAGGUGUCGGCGUAAGUCGGUGC
rnacentral:rRNA from 1 species